UAACUGCACUUUAAACACAUGAUCACAAACACAUCUUUACACAACACACAUACAAACACACUUUCACUUCUUACUGUCAUUAACAACUCAUUCAAAAGUGCAACAUUGCAUUAUAACAUAUAUAUUACAUUGUAAUAAACAGUUUUUAUCACUCCACUGACUCUAUAACUCAUUUGAUUUAGUUUGAUCUCCUGAAUGCUCGUGAAAUAUCCACAAUGAGGAAAAAUCCAGAGAAGUUCCACUGAUUGAAAUGUAUUUAAUAAAUCAGAAAUAAAGAUGUCAAUAAUUUGUGUAUUUUCAUGUAUGAAUUGUUUGUCAUUGCUGCUGUUCUCCUGUAACAGUCACAUUUGCUGGUGAGAGGAAACAGUUUUGAAUGUCCCGCCCCUCUGAUUAAAGCACAAUAUCAGACUGUCUGUUAGUCAGGACUGUCAAACCAACAUCACUGUUCCUUCAGUUCUCACUCAUUCACAGUAAAGAUGACAGCACACGCUCUCAUUAUCUGCUCUCUUCUGCUUUUCACUGCUGAGUGUGAUGGACAGAUCACAGUCACUCAGAGUCCCACAAUAACAGCUCAACCAGGACAACAAGUUCAAAUAAACUGUAAAACCAGCAGUGAUGUUUACUGGGAUAGUACUUAUGGCUCCCGCUUAGCCUGGUACUUACAGAAACCUGGAGAAGCUCCUAAACUCCUCAUUUAUCUGACUGAUAAACUGCAGUCAGGAACUCCAUCUAGAUUCAGUGGCAGUGGAUCUAAAAGUGAUUUCACUCUGACCAUCAGUGGAGUCCAGACUGAAGAUGCAGGACAUUAUUACUGUCAGAGUUAUCAUUACAUCAACAGUAAAGAUGUGUUCACACAGUGA